CAGCCUUCCUAACUGGAAGAUUAUUUAAGCACUGGAGCAAAUUGCCUAGGGAAUUUGUGGAAUCUCCAUCACUGGAGUUUUUUUAGAACAGGUUGGACAA